AUACGUAGGGUGCGAGCGUUGUCCGGAAUGAUUGGGCGUAAAGGGCGCGUAGGCGGCGCGGUAAGUCUGGAGUGAAAGUCCUGCUUUCAAGGUGGGAAUUGCUUUGGAUACUGUCGGGCUUGAGUGCAGGAGAGGUAAGUGGAAUUCCCAGUGUAGCGGUGAAAUGCGUAGAGAUUGGGAGGAACACCAGUGGCGAAGGCGACUUACUGGACUGUAACUGACGCUGAGGCGCGAAAGUGUGGGGAGCAAACAGGAUUAGAUACCCUGGUAGUCCACACUGUAAACGAUGAAUGCUAGGUGUAAGAGGUAUCGACCCCUUUUGUGCCGGAGUCAACACAAUAAGCAUUCCGCCUGGGGAGUACGGCCGCAAGGUUGAAACUCAAAUGAAUUGACGGGG
rnacentral:rRNA from 1 species